AGAGUUUGAUCCUGGCUCAGAUUGAACGCUGGCGGCAGGCCUAACACAUGCAAGUCGAGCGGUAGCACAAGAGAGCUUGCUCUCUGGGUGACGAGCGGCGGACGGGUGAGUAAUGUCUGGGAAACUGCCUGAUGGAGGGGGAUAACUACUGGAAACGGUAGCUAAUACCGCAUGACGUCUUCGGACCAAAGUGGGGGACCUUCGGGCCUCACGCCAUCAGAUGUGCCCAGAUGGGAUUAGCUAGUAGGUGGGGUAAUGGCUCACCUAGGCGACGAUCUCUAGCUGGUCUGAGAGGAUGACCAGCCACACUGGAACUGAGACACGGUCCAGACUCCUACGGGAGGCAGCAGUGGGGAAUAUUGCACAAUGGGCGCAAGCCUGAUGCAGCCAUGCCGCGUGUAUGAAGAAGGCCUUCGGUUGUAAAGUACUUUCAGCGAGGAGGAAGGCAUUGUGGUUAAUAACCACAGUGAUUGACGUUACUCGCAGAAGAAGCACCGGCUAACUCCGUGCCAGCAGCCGCGGUAAU
rnacentral:rRNA from 1 species